AAGAAAAAGAAGAAAAAGAAAAAGAAGAAAAAGAACAACCGCAACAAUUACCACCCUCUCAACUUCUCUCUCUUGGGCAUCAGUUCCUCUCUUCUUCUUUUUCGAAUUUCUCUUCCUUUUUCGGAACUACUUUGAACCAGAAAUCAAUUUUGAUCGGC
rnacentral:ribozyme from 1 species